AGUAACGUUAACAAAAUGCUACAGUUUUGCUCUGAAAAAAGAAACCUCAAGAAGGAAGAGUUAAUCUUGGCUUUACAAUUGCAAGACUUACUAUUGGUGUAAUAUUUUACACCACUAGCAAUCAAAAAUGGAAAAAAAAGAUCGACCCAAUAGUGUUAGCACGUGUGUACCAAACCCAAUGCCAAUGGUGAAUGAUUGAUGGAGGAAA
rnacentral:misc_RNA from 1 species